rnacentral:lncRNA from 1 species
UCACCCUCACCACCUGCAACUCACAUAUCAGACCUCUCAUCUUCUUCAAUCUUCUAUUUGUGUUGUAAACAACUCUCACAUAUUCACUUUGUUGUGUUUUUUUUUAUUACGGUUUAGAUUUGAUUCCAAUGGCAAGGAUGACCUCUGUUGGUUCAAUUCGAUGAUGCUGUGACUGCAAAUAUUGGUGGUGUCGGCAGGAUCAGAAGCAG